rnacentral:rRNA from 1 species
UAUUGCACAAUGGGCGCAAGCCUGAUGCAGCCAUGCCGCGUGUGUGAAGAAGGCCUUCGGGUUGUAAAGCACUUUCAGUCAGGAGGAAAGGUUAGUAGUUAAUACCUGCUAGCUGUGACGUUACUGACAGAAGAAGCACCGGCUAACUCCGUGCCAGCAGCCGCGGUAAUACGGAGGGUGCGAGCGUUAAUCGGAAUUACUGGGCGUAAAGCGUACGCAGGCGGUUUGUUAAGCGAGAUGUGAAAGCCCCGGGCUCAACCUGGGAACUGCAUUUCGAACUGGCAAACUAGAGUGUGAUAGAGGGUGGUAGAAUUUCAGGUGUAGCGGUGAAAUGCGUAGAGAUCUGAAGGAAUACCGAUGGCGAAGGCAGCCACCUGGGUCAACACUGACGCUCAUUACGAAA